UACGAAGGGGGCUAGCGUUGCUCGGAAUCACUGGGCGUAAAGGGUGCGUAGGCGGGUCUUAAGUCAGGGGUGAAAUCCUGGAGCUCAACUCCAGAACUGCCUUUGAUACUGAAGAUCUUGAGUUCGGGAGAGGUGAGUGGAACUGCGAGUGUAGAGGUGAAAUUCGUAGAUAUUCGCAAGAACACCAGUGGCGAAGGCGGCCAACUGGUCCGGUACUGACGCUGAGGUGCGAAAGCGUGGGGAGCAAACAGGG
rnacentral:rRNA from 1 species